rnacentral:rRNA from 1 species
AGCGAACGCUGGCGGCAGGCCUAACACAUGCAAGUCGAACGGAUCCUUCGGGAUUAGUGGCGGACGGGUGAGUAACACGUGGGAACGUGCCCUUUGGUUCGGAACAACUCAGGGAAACUUGAGCUAAUACCGGAUGUGCCCUUCGGGGGAAAGAUUUAUCGCCAUUGGAGCGGCCCGCGUCGGAUUAGCUAGUUGGUGGGGUAAAGGCCCACCAAGGCUACGAUCCGUAGCUGGUCUGAGAGGAUGAUCAGCCACAUUGGGACUGAGACACGGCCCAAACUCCUACGGGAGGCAGCAGUGGGGAAUCUUGCGCAAUGGGCGAAAGCCUGACGCAGCCAUGCCGCGUGAAUGAUGAAGGUCUUAGGAUUGUAAAAUUCUUUCACCGGGGACGAUAAUGACGGUACCCGGAGAAGAAGCCCCGGCUAACUUCGUGCCAGCCGCCGCAGUAAUAC